rnacentral:lncRNA from 1 species
AUUUUCUCAACAUUAAACAGCAAAACAGAGUAGAUGCUGAAGAAUGCUGCCCAGAUCCACACUUCAACUCUGAACUGAAUCAGCAUGGUCUGGGCAUGGAGGAUCCACCUGAAGAUUGUUACCAAUAGCCAUAAAAUGAGAACUGGAGGGGAAGAUCUUGGCCUGUUGAUUUUCUAAAAGAAGCUUGCUGAGGAUGGUUUUCCUGAUGCAAACUAGGAUGUUCUGGUCGGAGGAGGAGCUCAAGACCUUGCUGUCACUGAGAAUGGCUGCUGUUUUCAUCAGGGGAGCUCUGAUCUUCACUGUGAGCAUCACUUCCUGGCUCCAAUGUGGAUCCCUCAGCUUAGUGGCACAAAUCCUUCAUCUCACCAAUGUAGAUUUUUUGUCUUCCACCACUGGGGUUUAGGCCUUCCAGGUGCAGAUCCUCAGUAUGGACAAGCAUGAGACACUGCCUUAGACUCAAAGCCUUUAGCUGG